rnacentral:rRNA from 1 species
GAUGAACGCUGGCGGCGUGCCUAAUACAUGCAAGUCGAGCGGUAAGGCUCUGCACUUAGUAUUUGAUCAUAAAGCUUCGGCUUUAGACCAGACCAACCUCAAACCUAGGCUAGGGGAGAUGUGGCGAGGGAGAUCGAAUAAUAAGUGUAGAGUACACGAGCGGCGGACGGCUGAGUAACGCGUAGGAACGUACCCCAAAGUGAGGGAUAAGCACCAGAAAUGGUGCUAAUACCGCAUGUGGUCUUUAGAUUAAUAGUCUUCGGAUUAAAGCUUCGGCGCUUUGGGAGCGGCCU